UACGAAGGGGGCUAGCGUUGCUCGGAAUGACUGGGCGUAAAGGGCGCGUAGGCGGAUGGCACAGUCAGAUGUGAAAUUCCCGGGCUUAACCUGGGGGCUGCAUUUGAUACGUGUGAUCUAGAGUGAGGAAGAGGGUCGUGGAAUUCCCAGUGUAGAGGUGAAAUUCGUAGAUAUUGGGAAGAACACCGGUGGCGAAGGCGGCGACCUGGUCCUUGACUGACGCUGAGGCGCGAAAGCGUGGGGAGCAAGCAGG
rnacentral:rRNA from 1 species